UACGGAGGGGGCAAGCGUUGUUCGGAAUUACUGGGCGUAAAGGGCGCGCAGGCGGCUGCUCAAGUCAGGCGUGAAAGGCCUGGGCUCAACCCGGGAAUUGCGCUUGAGACUGGGCUGGCUUGAGUGCGGGAGAGGAUGGUGGAAUUCCCAGUGUAGAGGUGAAAUGCGUAGAUAUUGGGAAGAACACCGGUGGCGAAGGCGGCCAUCUGGACCGCAACUGACGCUGAGGCGCGAAAGCGUGGGGAGCAAACAGG
rnacentral:rRNA from 1 species